UUUUAAUAUGACGUGUUAGUGAAAGUGUUAGUCACUUCAGUCGUGUCCAACUCUUUGCGACCCCAUGGACUGUAGCCCGCCAGGCUCCUCUGUCCAUGGGGUUUCCCAGGCAAGAACAGUAGAGUGGGUUGACAUGCCCUCCUCCAGGAGAUCUUCCCGACCCAGAGAUUGAACCCAGGUCUCCAGCAUUUCAGGUGGAUUCUUUUCUGUCUCAGCCACCUCGGAACCUUCUGACGGUGAAAUGUGGCCAUUUACCUUCACGCUUCAAUGCCAGCCCCUAAAUCACUGUCUCCGCGCCCGCGCUCAAGGUUGCUCCCGGAGCCGGCCGCCAACAAAGCCGCCGCCGCCUCCGCCCGGGACCCGGGCACCGAGCCUCAGCCCCGCUCCACGCCCCGACCCCCGCGGCCGCGAAGACCCGGAAGGGCCCGCUCCCCGCCUGGUCCGCUGCGCCCCCGCCGCCUUCCUCUUUCCUUCUGUGUCUGUCUCUCCAUUUUUUUGUCCCAAGGCCCUAUCUCCGGGACGAAGCAUCCAGAGGCUCUCGGUCCAAACUCACCAAGAAACCUCAAGUUCACUCCCCUAUGGUAAAUGGACGGAGUGAGGAACACCGGCUUGAGUGAAGGAGGCUCUUAACUGUGUAGCUACUUUACGCUUGGGUCCCUCUGCCCCGGGAGUCCCCGGACGGCAGAGUCUUUGAUGCAGAGACGGCCUCGCGAGUGUCACUGAUAACGCAGGACCGCGUGCGCUUCUCACCUGCAGCUGCAAACACUUCACCCAUCUCUGCGGCUCUGCUGUGACAUGGCUUCCCCUCCGCAAUCUUUCCCUCCCUGAUCUUUCUUUCCUGUCCUCCAGGAUCUCCAUUUGUCUUCCGUGCAAAGAGACAAGGGAGGGGGAGACGGGAGAGAGUCCAAGUUCUGGGCACACAGGACACAGGGUGGGGCGGCUGUUUGGAAAACGGGGAGCUGUUGGCGCAGAGAACCAGGACCGUAGCGAGGAGGUCUCGGUCCCUGCCAAGGCCUGACGUUCCCCCACCUGCCAGUCACGGGAGAGAUUGGCGUCUCAUCUGACUGACGGAGACUACGCUUUCUCAUCAGACCAGAGGCACCCUCCCCCACCGCCAGGGCAGAGGCUGUAUUCCUCCCCGCCCCCCGCCGCCCCGCAUUAGAUUGCUUGCUCCCCAGAAUAGGGGAGCCUCCUCCAUUUGCCUGAGAGCUUUCCUUUGGCAGGGGAUCUGUCCCCCCAUCAGAUUCGGAGCUCCCCAGAAUAGAGGCUUCUGUCCCCUGCCAUCAGACUAAGAACUCCCCC
ensembl:lncRNA